GACCAGGCUGUCCUUGCACUCACAGAUCCCUGUGCCUCUGCCUCCCCAGUGCUGGGAUUAAAGACAUGUGCCACCACCGCCUGGCUCAUUUUAAAACUUUUGUAAUUCUUGUUAUUUACUCAUUGAAAUGUGUGUUAGACACCUAAGCAACAGCUCUGAGCUGCCUCUGGGGAUGAAAGAAUUAAAUGAAUAGUCGUGAUUCUUUCCAACCUACACUUGGCCAGUAUGUUUGGAUCAUACUGUGUGACCACAGGGGAAGGCCAACAGGUACCUAUAGUCAGAGUAUCAUUCGCUUGCAUAUUAAAAUCCCCUCCUGUGAGGUCACAAUUGUAAUCAACAUCUCCCACCCACCCAUCUUUUUUCUUUCGCUCCUUCCAAGUUUCUGAGCAGUCAAACCCUUAGCUGCAGACCAUGAAAUCAGUAUAUAGACGUGUCUGGUCACUUCCUUCUGGGAAAAAUGAAUUAUCAGGGCUCCCCUCACCCUGUCCUGUAGGAACGUUCCAGACAAGCAAUGUAGGACUGCCACUGUCACUCUGGUGCUGUAUGCAUAGCGCUACAAACCCACUGUUCCAAGUUUUAAUUAUCGAGAGCUUUCCAUGAUACCCUGCUUGUAGCUGGAAAGAAAGUGACAGGACCAAGGGUCAUCAGCUUUUAAAACAUGUUUCUGCAUAACUUAUCAGUACUUCAUCACGCUCAACCAUAUGUGUCAUUUCCAUUGAUCAAAAUUUAGGUCAUGGUGGAUCACACAAUAUUGAAUCUACGGCAACAACUUGCUUCACAGGGUAACUAGAUGUCACAUGACCCAAAACAACUGACCUGGAGAGAUAGCACGGGCUUCUACAGUCAGGUGAGAGGUAGAGACAAGAACCCCCAGAAGCUCCCAGGCUGGCUAGUCUGUCUGCCUUACACAGGGAAGAGCAUGAGACCCUGUUUGAAACAAGGCGGAAUGCAAUUAUUGACAGCCAACCUUGACACAUGCACUACAGGCUGUGGACAUACACACAAGGUAAUUCUCUGAAGAGGAUGGCUGCUUUCAUGGUCCCAAGGCUGCUUUACCACUGUGAAUACUUCAUCCCUAUCUCAAAUCUUUGUGUAUCACUGAGGCUUGGAACUGUUGGGUCGUAUCGUCAAAGUGACAGAACAUCAUGGACAUCAGCCUGAAGCUGCUGGUCUCACUCAAAAGCCACGCUUUGGGGGUUAUUUGAGGUACGGGCUAUGGUGACAGCUAAAUGUGUCGUCGUCGCCAUCCAAAGGGGUCCCAAAAGUUGGGUAGAGGGGAUGGAUGCAGCAAUCUCUUCUGGAUGAGGCAUCUCUCAACAUUUGCACUUAACUGGACAAAGAACAUACAUCUUCUGGCAUGAUAGACACUCUACCAACUGAGCUACAUCUCUAGCCCUAACUUCUUAACUCUACCCCUCCCCCUCUUCCAUGUGAGUUGUGGGUUGUCAUGUGUGUGCUAGGAAUUGAACCUGGCUCCCCCCGAAGAGCAUCAAGUGUUUUUAACUACCGAACCUUCCUUCCAUUCCCCUUAUAUUUUAUAAUAAAAAAGAUACAUACUGUCAAGACACUGAGUCAUGGUUGGUGAUAUACAUGCAAAGGCUUUAGCAGAAGUAUUUGUUCAGUUGGAAGCUCUUCGCCCAGUCCUCCCCAUUUCAAACCCCGCCCCUCUCAGAAAGAUCACCAAAAGUCCGGGCUCCUCCCUGGAAAUUCAAGACCACAGCUACAGGGUGCCCCUGUGGCCCCCUACCUCCGGGGAUGCUGGAGAGUCACCCAAUAAUCUUUGGCCUAAUAAACCUGAUCUUUUUAAUUCA